CCCUCCCGGGGCGCCUCUUUUGUUUUAAGGCCGCGCCUGCGGUGGCCGCGGGCGUCAGGCUCUCCCGGCCUCCGGCGGGGCCACCCCGGGGUGCGCAUCGCCUGCCGGAGCGCGGGGGGGCGGGAGGCGUCUGGGCUGGUGGCGGAGUCAGCUGUGUGAUGGCAGAAUUUAUCCGUCCUUGGGUGGUUUGAACUUGUUGCAAUCUAUUCAGCGUUUUGUCAAGAUUUAAUAGAACAUUUGCUGCUUUUCUAAGAAGCUGGUGUCUGUUGCUUACAAACAGGAAUGCUAACUGGUAUAAUAUUUAACUUAUAUUAUAAAAAAAAAUUCAGCUCUUUGAUUUUUCUCUUCAUCAAAGACUAUGUAUAUCGUCAAAAACGGACCAAAUGAGGCCACACAUCGUCAUCUUGUUUACAAGAUCAAUCCAAUGUACUCACAGAAUACCUAAAAUUGCAUUCAUCAUUUCAAGAUGAACAUAAUGCAUUCACAAAAAGAAACCUAAAGAAAACUAAGCAAUUAAAUAUUACUCUCAUUUACCAACACGACUGGAAAAAUAAAUGAAAACAUUUAAAAUUAUUAGAGACUCAAUUAUCAGGUACUUAAAUAUUAAAACGAUUGCAUCAUAUCUCUCAACAUGGGAAGGAGUACAAGGCCCAAGGGUGUAUUCCUAUUAAAAUAUUUUUGGGGACACCUGGGUGGCUCAGUCGGUUAAGCAUCUGACUUUGGCUCAAGUCAUAAUCUCACAGUCCAUGAGUUCGAGCCCCGCGUUUGGCUCUGUGCCGACAGCUCAGAGCCUGGAGCCUGCUUUGGAUUCUGUGUCUCCCUCUCUCUCUGCCCCUCCCCCACUCACACACACACACUCUCUCUCAAGAAUAAGUAAACAUUAAAAAAAAAGUUUUUAAAUAAAGUAAAAUAUUUUCUAAAAUUAAAUUCCAGGGCUGCCUGGGUGUCUCGGUUGGUUAAGUGUCAGACACUUGAUCUCGGCUCAGGCCAUGAUCUUGAGGACUGUGAGACUGAGUCCCACGUCGGGCUCUGUGCUGACAGUAAGGAGCCAGCUUGGGACUCACUCUCUCUCUUCUCUCUCUGCCCCUCCCCUGCUUGUGUGCUCUCUCAAAUAAACAUUUAAAAAAGGGUUUCAAAUGAACCUCGAACAUUAAAAUUUGCAUAUUUAGUAGAAUUUCAAAUAUACCCUUGAAUUUAUAAAAUUUUUUCUUUACCUUGAGGGAUCUAUAGUUUUCAAAACUUUAAAGCUAGAAGUCUUCACAUUUCUACGUAGUAUUUGCUAUAAAAGAGAAAACUCCACACAGGUCUAUGUCCUACAAGCAUAUACUUCUUUGUCACACACACACAAUAUACACACAUACAUAAAAAAUAUAUUUACACAUGUACAGAUAAUACAUAUAUAAUAGAAAAUACAUCAAUAUUCACAUGUACUUCUAAAUGUACAUUUACAUCCACACUCAUCUGUCUUUUUAAUCCUAUCUUUCCAAGCAUAUGAACACCUAAUAUUUAGAAGCUGUCCUUUCCCUUAAAUGGCAGUUUUAAAAAUUUCAAACAGUUUGCUUUUCUCUUUUGACUGCUACAGCUUUACAAGUGGAACAAGAGAAGACAUAUUUACCUGAUUCUUCCAACCUUGAACCUGGUCGCUCAAAUUAUGAAUCACAGACUCUGCUUCCUGAGCUUGCUGGAGGGCAUGGCCGGAGAGGGUCCAGGAGCCACGGCAGCUGGGGUCCCCACAGGACGGAAGCAUGCACGGCAUGUCCCCUGUUACCCCACACACCUCACAGGAGAAAUGAUUUAUGUUGAAAAGCAACAUAUUGGCAGAGUUUCUUCUAAUGCCACCUGGGUCACUGAGGCAAAGCACUGCUCUGUGCAUAUGUAUUUCUUCAGCAGUGGUUCAUGGAUACAACCCAGUAAAUGUUUCUAGGUACCUAAAUAUCUGAAUCUUUUGUUAUCAGCAUUGUGUCAAUCAAUGCCAUUUUUACGCUGAGAGUUUUGGGGGGAAACAGUCAAAUAUCUAGCAUUUCUCACUAAUUUCAUUUUUUUUAAAAUAAAAAUUACCUUUUACUUAUAGUAGAGUGGGAGGAGGAAAUGAUCAUAAUCUGUACCAUUGUGGAAAUAGCAAAUAAUAUAAGUAAAGAUAAAACACUAAAAUCAAGCCACAGUCUUACUCUGAAUUUUCUCAAACUUUGACCUAGGAUAUAAAAAGUAAAAUAUAAAUAAAUGUAUUUAUAUUGUUUCUAUCUUAUAGAACAGAGCGUAUAUAUGUUAUUUAUAUUUACACACUUAUAAAACAUAAAUAAGAAAAUAAAAUGUAAGACGGGGACAUACAACUGAAGAGAUCUGUAUACCAAAUAGAAACUACAAACACUUUUACGACACCAUCAUGAAUAUUUACCUUUUCAAUCAGUAUUUGGAUAUCCGGGACUGUAAUCUGCUUUAAUUUUUCCAAUGACAAGUUUUCUUUUGAGCUUAGCAUAUCAAACAUGCUAUGUAAGUCAUUCCUGGUUUUUUCAGAGUUUUUUAUGAUAGAAGUGGUUUCAGUAAUUUUCUUUUCAGCAGAUGAUGACCUCUGAUAAUGCUUCUUGAUAGUCUCUGAGGGAUCUAUAUUAAUGCAAAUUGAGGUCAGAUAAAUUUUGCAAAGACAAAUGCAAUUAUAUGCUGGUUAUCAAGACCGUCCUUCCACAGUUUGACCAUGGGCUUGGUCUCAAAGGUCAAUACAAAAAUUUGCCAUCCUCUUCCUUGAAUUUCCACCCAAUGGGGAAGGAUAAGAGAUAGUGAAACAGAUAUCCAUAGAAUAGGUACACAGCACUGAGGUUGAUCUUGCAGACAUGGGUGUGAGUGUUGGCUUUACCCUUUACCGUCUGAGUCUGUCCUGGAGCAAAUCAGUCAACUGCUUAGAUUGUGUUUGUUUGAUGGUAAUUUGUGAGGAUUAAGUGAAAUGAUACGAGAACACUCCGUUAAGUGUUCCACAAAUGCAUUAGCUAUGUAUUAAUUAGUACCUAACCCUGACAUGAGAAACCAACCCGGUUUACCUAACCAUAUGGAACAGGAGUUGCCGAAUUUGUCCCGGAAAGGGCCAGGGAAUAAAUGUUUUAGGCUUGCUGGCCACCGCGUGUCUGUCACAACUUUUCACCUCUGCCACUGUAGAGUGAAACGGCCACAAGCAAUAUGUCAACAAACAGGUGAGGCUGUCUCCUAACGAAACUUCACUUUGACCCCUGACGUUGAGGCCGAUGGCAACAGCUCUCGUGGUGGAGUCCUUUCUACGUGCCUGCACUUCCUGUCAGUGUUCUUUCUUCCUCUUCACAGAACACUGUGAGGUCGCACUGGUGUUAACCCCCCCCCCCCCACCAUGUUACAAGUGAGAAGAUGAGGCUCUGAUGAGGUGGAGAUCAGAUGAAAACCUGGAGCAUGCACACAGGGUAAGGAGACGCUCCCGACGACUUUGCCUUGAGACGUGCUUCGUGCACAUUUUCUCUUUGCCUCUCCAUUAGGUGGGUUAGGGGAGCGGAUGUUCAGGGCUGCCUCUCCCGGUAGUGACAAGUUAUCUGCUUCUAGAUGUAAAACGGGGAUCUCAUCAGAGAUCAGGACAUGAACUAAUCCAAGUUUUGCUUUUGUGUUCCAUUUUGACUCCAAGUCAGUCUUGGCUCUGGCGUGGUUCCCGUUCAUUUUAACAGCAUAAGAUGAAUUAAGGACUUUUAGUACAUUACAAGACUCCAAAUCUCUACAAAGGUCUUACGAGAAACGUUUGCUGAAGUCCUUUUGGCCUCAUACGCCUUUGCCUUUCGGGUUGCUGGAAAUGGAGUAUCACACAUUGUUAGCUCUACUCAUUAUUUUCAGCAAAUGCUACCCAAGCUCUGCCAGGUUUACAAAGUCAAAAUACUCAUGUGCAAAUAAUACCUUUAAUGGGUGUGUUUUCACGUCCUAAAGUGCUCAGACACUAUGGCAAUGAGCACAGGGUGAUUCACUAAUGGAAUGCACUAUGGAUUUCAUCAACCUUUGUCCAUAAACGUUGAUGUGCAUUUUCUCUCUUACCCAUGAUGUUUGCAGUAUGGGCCCGGGAGCGCAAAUCAAUUUCUUUCCGAAGAUCUUCAAGUAAGAGG